AUGCUUCUUUCUGCCAACAGGAGCUCACUGGAGGGACCAAGCCCCCGGCAUAGAACCCCACCUCCCCCUUCAGACAGGUACUGGACCCAGAGACAGUGGAGUGCCUGGGGCCUGGAGGUCCGAGCCCAGAUCCUGGCCCUCCGCCACUGGCUUGAUGGCUUGGAGCAGCAGCUCCCCAGAACCUCUGGAGAGGAUCUGCAAGGGCUCCAGGCCGGGGCUCGGGGCCAGCCAGCGACCAUCAUGGGCAACUUGGCUCCCCGACCUAGCUGCCUCGGGGAGAAGGGGCACCGCUCUGAAGAGUUCCUGCGGGGUGGCCGAGGAGGAGGGGGAACCGAACCGGAGCUCGGCCCCGCCGGCCCGGCUCUCCCGGACCCCCUGCCGCCGGCCAGGCUUGGGAGCCCCGUCCUGCCAGACAAGCCGUGGGGCUGGCAGGCCCGCAGCACACGGGAAGUGACCGAGGUGACGGAGGUGACGGAGACGGUGGUGACAGAGAUUGUGGAGGUGACCCGUUAUCCAGGAAGCGGACGUCCCACCGUGACCCGCACCGUGACGGUGCUGACCGAGAGCGCCGCGGAGCUGCCCCUGGCUCCCUCGCAGGUGGUCCUUCCCGCUGCGGAGUUCUCGGAACCCCCUGAGACCCUCGUGUCGCUGCAGGCCUGGUUGGCUGACAUGGAAGAGCUGCUGGCUGGCCAGAGGCCCCUGGCCGCUGAGGUCAAAGUGGCCAUAGCCCAACUGCAGGAGCAGAAGGUGUGUUAGUCGGGGAGCGGGAGGAAGGUGGGGACGUAUUCCCGGAGAACCCCGUCUCCCCACAGCUCUAGCCAGGGUCAGUCCACUCCAGUUCUCCCUCCUUUCCAGACUUUGCCGUCUCCUAACCCCUGGGGGCCCCGGUACCGACAUCUGGCUC
rnacentral:lncRNA from 1 species